rnacentral:rRNA from 1 species
AUUGAACGCUGGCGGCAGGCCUAACACAUGCAAGUCGAACGAGUGGCGGACGGGUGAGUAAUGUCUGGGAAACUGCCCGUUGGAGGGGGAUAACUACUGGAAACGGUAGCUAAUACCGCAUAACCUUAGAUGUGCCCAAAUGGGAUUAGCUAGUUGGUGGGGUAACGGCUCACCAAGGCGACGAUCCGUGGCUGGUCUGAGAGGAUGACCAGCCACACUGGGACUGAGACACGGUCCAGACUCCUACGGGAGGCAGCAGUGGGGAAGAUUGCACAAUGUGCGCAAGCCUGAUGCAGCCAUGCCGCGUGUAUGAAGAAGGCCUUCGGGUUGUAAAGUACUUUCAGCGGGGAGGCGUUACCCGCAGAAGAAGCACCGGCUAACUCCGUGCCAGCAGCCGCGGUAAUAC